GCUCCGCCAGGCGCCAGGCCACCAGUCCACCUCCGGCCUCCCGAGCGCGGCGGCAGCCGGCAGCGACCUCCAGGCUCCAGCCACCGUCCUCGGGCCUCCCUGGCGCGGCGGCAGCACCAUCCAGCAGUCCGGCCUCCGUUCCUCAACAACCACAAUACCCUGACGCCGGUUGGCCCCGGCACAACGCCGCUCCCUGCCAACACCCCUCUCCCUUAGCUGCUGACCUCGGCAACGGGCUCACCCACACGCCUCUGCUGCCAAAAGAUUGCCCGCAGCUAGCAAAGGCUAAUGGAUCGAAGUUGGAUGAGUAAACCAAGAUCAACUACUGAUUAUAAAGAAGGUGUCGAGCUAAUGGUUGGUUAUCUGACAUAUUCGAACUGUCAUACAAAGAUUACAAGUUGGUCUUCUUUAAAUGUGAUUGGUAUGAUGUUCAUCACAAAGCUGGUAUUAUAAGAGAUGAGUUUGGAUUCACUCAUGUGAACUUCUCCCGAAAAAUACAUACAGGGGAGAAGUUAGAGGAUGAACCUUUUGUAUUUUCUUCCCAAGUGGACCAGGUCUACUAUAUCCAAAAUCCGAGAAGUGAGAAUUGGAAUACCAUGGUGAAAUUCAAACCUCGUGAUAUUUUUGACAUGGGUGGAGAACCAUCUUCAG